rnacentral:rRNA from 1 species
CGGUAGCACAGAGAGCUUGCUCUCGGGUGACGAGUGGCGGACGGGUGAGUAAUGUCUGGGAAACUGCCUGAUGGAGGGGGAUAACUACUGGAAACGGUAGCUAAUACCGCAUAACGUCGCAAGACCAAAGAGGGGGACCUUCGGGCCUCUUGCCAUCAGAUGUGCCCAGAUGGGAUUAGCUAGUAGGUGGGGUAACGGCUCACCUAGGCGACGAUCCCUAGCUGGUCUGAGAGGAUGACCAGCCACACUGGAACUGAGACACGGUCCAGACUCCUACGGGAGGCAGCAGUGGGGAAUAUUGCACAAUGGGCGCAAGCCUGAUGCAGCCAUGCCGCGUGUAUGAAGAAGGCCUUCGGGUUGUAAAGUACUUUCAGCGGGGAGGAAGGUGUUGUGGUUAAUAACCACAGCAAUUGACGUUACCCGCAGAAGAAGCACCGGCUAACUCCGUGCCAGCAGCCGCGGUAAUACGGAGGGUGCAAGCGUUAAUCGGAAUUACUGGGCGUAAAGCGCACGCAGGCGGUCUGUCAAGUCGGAUGUGAAAUCCCCGGGCUCAACCUGGGAACUGCAUUCGAAACUGGCAGGCUAGAGUCUUGUAGAGGGGGGUAGAAUUCCAGGUGUAGCGGUGAAA